ensembl:sense_intronic
AUCCUACAUAUUUACUCUGCUAAUGAGCCCCCGUAUAACAGAGUAUUGCUCAUGCUUUCUCAAAGGUCUUUCCUGGACCAGGACUCAAAAUCUCCAGUCCUAGCCUUAAAAGUAGGAUGCUGCUUUUCUGAGUCACCUGUAUGUGAAUCAAUGAACAAACUAAGAAAAAUAGCUAUGGAAGAGCACUCAUAGAGAGCAUAGAAGCUGAACAGAUUCCUUGAAGGAAUAUUAUG